rnacentral:rRNA from 1 species
AGUGAACGCUGGCGGUAGGCCUAACACAUGCAAGUCGAACGGCAGCACAGUAAGAGCUUGCUCUUACGGGUGGCGAGUGGCGGACGGGUGAGGAAUACAUCGGAAUCUACUUUUUCGUGGGGGAUAACGUAGGGAAACUUACGCUAAUACCGCAUACGACCUACGGGUGAAAGCAGGGGAUCUUCGGACCUUGCGCGAUUGAAUGAGCCGAUGUCGGAUUAGCUAGUUGGCGGGGUAAAGGCCCACCAAGGCGACGAUCCGUAGCUGGUCUGAGAGGAUGAUCAGCCACACUGGAACUGAGACACGGUCCAGACUCCUACGGGAGGCAGCAGUGGGGAAUAUUGGACAAUGGGCGCAAGCCUGAUCCAGCCAUGCCGCGUGGGUGAAGAAGGCCUUCGGGUUGUAAAGCCCUUUUGUUGGGAAAGAAAAGCAGCAGGUUAAUACCCUGCUGUUCUGACGGUACCAAAAGAAUAAGCACCGGCUAACUUCGUG